ACGUCAGUGAGGUUUGUCCUUGCCUGUUAUCUUAGAAAUUGCAAGCUAUGAUGAUUGGAUUCUAUAAGUAUGUGAUUGUAUUUCAUAUUUGUUUAGGGCUUGCAACCUCUUUAUGAGUUUUGUCUGAU